GUUUCAGGUUCAGUGAUCAUCAUGGGUAUUAAAAUUGUAUCUGUUCUUGCAUCUGUUGUGGCUUUUUCCUCAUGGAGCUAUUAUUUUCCAGUGGAUAAACCAACAGAUCAGGUUCAUUUUCCAUUGCAAAUCCAGCCAAUAAAAAAGGUGGAAAAGCAAGGAAGGAAAUUGAAAGAGCAGCAGAUUGAAGUUGUAAAGCAGAAAGACUUCAAAGCAGAGCCUGUUAUAGACGUUUCUAUGCCACAUCGCUCAGAAAAACUCUGUUUCACAUCUACAGUCUCCACGUUGAGUGGAUCCUUCCCUCUCGGCACAGUGCUCACCAUUCUUCUC